CGGACUGAGUAAAGCGGCGGACGGGUGAGUAACGCGUAGGAAUCUACCCAGUGGUGGGGGACAACUUGGGGAAACCCAAGCUAAUACCGCAUACACCCUACGGGGGAAAGCGGGGGACCUUCGGGCCUCGCGCCAUUGGAUGAGCCUGCGUCGGAUUAGCUAGUUGGUAGGGUAAAGGCCUACCAAGGCGACGAUCCGUAGCUGGUCUGAGAGGACGAUCAGCCACACUGGGACUGAGACACGGCCCAG
rnacentral:rRNA from 1 species